UGGGGAAGUUGGAAGGUGGGGUUCUGCUGGAUAUGUGUUCCUGUGAGGCAUCCACUCCCAAAGCCAACUCAGCAGCAGAAGGAGAUCCGGUGGCACCCAGCUCUCCGGGAGGAAUCCUGCUCCUUCCAGUAGGCGCCUGCAGGACCCAGGAACACUACAUCAACACUCUUGCCCUGGAUCUGGACACAGAAGACUCCUGUUUCAAGAAAAUACAAUGAUCUCUGAAAGUCUAUAAUUUAUAUUCAUUUAACUCACUAGGUAUUGAAAACCACCCAAUUGUCUCACAGAAUGGAGUAAAAUAUCAUCGAUCACUCAGUGUAAUAUUAUACAUCCUCUAAAAAUGUUAUUGGAAAAUGUUUUAUGAUCUGUACGUCGAAAUAACCCUCUCCUACCAUUUCUCCCUGCUGCUCUCCCAAACCCAUGCUUCUUUGUUCCAAUUGGCAAGUAAACUUGUUUUUCCCGCCAAAUGAGUCAGUCAUAAUGGGAACGUCAAUUGAUUUGAACAGAUGUGUGUCAAUGUGACUUGGAAAACUAGAUGCCAGUAACCAGGGCCACAAAAAAAGGCAGUGGUUGCGACUCUGUAAAAAUUUAUGUGUGCAUAUAGACAAGGACUAAAGUGGCCCAAACAAAACAGGAAAACAGUUGGAUAUACUCCAGUGCUGGGAGACUGAAUGACUGUAUGCUGCUUUCCAUUUCCGUUCAUAUGGGCAACUGUCCAAUUAAAAAAAAAACCUAAUAAGGACUCUGCAGUGCAAAUUAUUUUGUGGAUUGUUUUAAAACGCCAUACCUGUCAAC